rnacentral:rRNA from 1 species
UACGUAGGGUGCGAGCGUUGUCCGGAAUUAUUGGGCGUAAAGAGCUCGUAGGCGGUGUGUCACGUCGGCCGUGAAAACCUGGGGCUUAACUCUGGGCGUGCGGUCGAUACGGGCAUCACUAGAGUUCGGCAGGGGAGACUGGAAUUCCUGGUGUAGCGGUGAAAUGCGCAGAUAUCGGGAAGAACACCCGUGGCGAAGGCGGCUCUCUGGGACGGUACUGACGCUGAGACGCGAAAGCGUGGGGAGCGAACAGG